rnacentral:lncRNA from 1 species
GGGGGGAAAUGGGGGAAUUAUGGGGGAAAUGGGGCGAUUUGGGGGGAAAUGGGGCAAUAUGGGGGGAAAUUGGAUGAUACUGGGAGGAAAUGGGGCAAUUUUGGGGGGAAAUGGGGCAAUUUUGGGGUAAAUGGGGCCAUUUUGGGGGAAAUCGGAUGAUACUGGGGGGAAAUGGGGCCAUUUUGGGGGAAAUGGGGCAAUUUUGGGGGAAAUGGGGCAAUUUGGGGGGAAAUUGGAUGAUACUGGGGGGAAAUGGCGCAAAUUGGGGGGAAAUGGGGCAAUAUGGGGGGAAACUGAAUGAUACUGGGAGGAAAUGGGGCCAUUUUGGGGGAAAUGGGGCCAUUUUGGGGGAAACGGUGCAAUUUGGGGGGAAGUGGGGCAAUUUGGGGGGAAAUUGGAUGAUACUGGGGGGAAAUGGGGCAAAUUGGGGGGAAAUGGGGCAAUAUGGGGGGAAACUGAAUGAUACUGGGAGGAAAUGGGGCAAUUAUGGGGGAAAUGGGGCAAUUUUGGGGUAAAUGGGGCCAUUUUGGGGGAAAUCGGAUGAUACUGGGGGAAAUGGGGCCAUUUUGGGGGGAAAUGGGGCAAUUUUGGGGGAAAUGGGGCAAUUUGGGGGGAAAUUGGAUGAUACUGGGGGGAAAUAGGGCAAAUUGGGGGGAAAUGGGGCAAUAUGGGGGGAAACUGAAUGAUACUGGGGGGAAAUGGGGCAAUUUGGGGGGAAAUGGGGCCAUUUUGGGGGAAACGGUGCAAUUUGGGGGGAAGUGGGGCAAUAUGGGGGGAAAUUGAAUGAUACUGCGGGGAAAUGGGGCAAAUUGGGGGGAAAUGGGGCAAUUUUGGGGGAAAUUGGGCCAUUUUUGGGGGGAAAUGGGGCUAUUUUGGGGAAAAUGGGGCAAAUUGGGGGGAAAUGGGGCAAUUUUGGGGGAAAUGGGGCAAAUUGGGAGGAAAUGGGGCAAUUUGGGGGGAAAAGGGGGAAUUUGGGGGGAAAUGGGGCAAAUUGGGGGGGAAUGUGGCAAUUAUGGGGGGAAAUUGAAUGAUACUGGGGGAAAAUGGGGCAAUUUUGGGGGGGAAAUGGGGCAAUUUUGGGGGAAAUGGAAUGAUACUGGGGGGAAAUGGGGCAAUUUGGGGGGAAAUGAGGCCAUUUUGGGGGAAAUGGGGCAAUUUUGGGGGGAAUCGGAUGAUACUGGGGGGAAAUGGGGCCAUUUUGGGGGAAAUGGGGCAAUUUGGGGGGGGAAUGGGGCAAAUUGGGGGGAAAUGGGGCAAAUUGGGGGAAAAUGGGGCAAUUUGGGGGGAAAUGGGGCAAUAUGGGGGGAAAUUGGAUGAUACUGGGGGAAAUGGGGCCAUUUUGGGGGGCAAAUGGGGCCAUUUUGGGGGAAACGGCCAUUGUGGGGGGGAAAAAGGGCAAUUUUGGGGGGAAAUGGGGCCAUUUGGGGGGAUUCUUUGGUGUCAUUUUGGGGGGAAAUGGGGCCAUUUUGGGAGAAAUGGGGUCAUUUUGGGGGAGAUGGGGCAAUUUUGUGGAAAUGGAUCAUUUGGGGGGAAAUUUUGGUCAUUUUCGGGGGAAAUGGGGCCAUUUGGGGGGAAAAUUGGGCAAUUUGGGGAGGGAAAUGGGGCAAAUUUGGAGGUAAAUGGGGCAAUUUUGGGGAAAUGGGGCCAUUUUGGGGGGGAAAUGGGGUCAUUUGGGGGGAAAAUGGGGCAAUUUGGGGGGGGAAAUGGGGUCAUUUUGGGGGGAAAUGGGGCAAUUUUGGGGAAAUGGGGUCAUUUUGGGGGGAAUUGGGUCAUUUUGGGGGAAAAUGGGGCAAUUUUGGGGGGGAAAUUGGGUCAUUUUGGGGGGAAAUGGGGCAAUUUUGGGGAAAUGGGGCCAUUUUGGGGGGGAAAUGGGGUCAUUUUGGGGGAAAAUGGGGCAAUUUGGGGGGGGAAAUGGGGUCAUUUUGGGGGGAAAUGGGGCAAUUUUGGGGAAAUGGGGUCAUUUUGGGGGGAAUUGGGUCAUUUUGGGGGAAAAUGGGGCAAUUUUGGGGGGGAAAUGGGGUCAUUUUGGGGGGAAAUGGGGCAAUUUUGGGGAAAUGGGGUCAUUUUGGGGGGAAUUGGGUCAUUUUGGGGGGAAAUGGGACCAUUUUGGGGAUUCUUUGGUGUCAUUUUGGGGGUAAAUGGAGCAAUUUUGGGGGAAAAGGGGCAACUAUGUGGGAAUUGGGGCAAUUUUGGGGGGAAAUGGAUCUUUUUGGUGGGAAAUGAGGGCAUUUUUGGGGGGAAAUUGGGUCAUUUUGGGGAAAUUGGGGCUAUUUGGGGGGAAAUGAGGCCAUUUUGGGGUAUUCUUUGGUGUCAUUUGGGGGGUAAAUGGGGCAAUUUUGGGUGGAAAUGGGGUCAUUUUGGGGGUGGGUGGGGAUGGAUUGGGGUUCUUUGGGGUGAAAAAUGCGGAUUUGGGGGAUUAUUUGGGGGUUCUUCGAUGUCAUUUUGAAGGGAAAUGGGGCAAAAUUUUGGGCUCAUUUGGGGUUAUUUGGGGCAAAUUUGGGUCUUCUUGCCUCAUUUUGGGGCCAUUUUUAGGAAUAUUUGGGUCAUUUGGGUCAUUUUGGGGCCAUUUUGGGGAUAUUUGGGGCGAAUUUGGGUCAUUUUGGGGCCUUUUUGGGUAAAUUUUGGUCAUUUUUGUUCUUUUGGGGGCCAUUUUGGGGGAUAUUUGGGGAUAUUUGGGUCAUAUGGGCUCAUUUUGGGGCCAUUUUGGGGAUAUUUGGAGCGAAUUUGGGUCAUUUGGUGGACAUUUAGGGUAAAUUUGGGUCAUUUUUGUUUUGGGGCCACUUUAGGGGAUAUUUGGGGAUUUUUGGGUCACAUGGACUCAUUUUGGGGUCAUUUUGGGGCUAUUUGGGGCAAAUUUGGGUCUUCUUGCCUCAUUUUGGGGCCAUUUUUAGGAAUAUUUGGGUCAUUUGGGUCAUUUUGGGGCCAUUUUGGGGAUAUUUGGGGCGAAUUUGGGUCAUUUUGGGGCCUUUUUGGGUAAAUUUUGGUCAUUUUUGUUCUUUUGGGGGCCAUUUUGGGGGAUAUUCGGGGAUUUUGGGGUCAUUUAGGCUCAUUUUGGGGCCAUUUGGGGCUAUUUGGGGCAAAUUUGGGUCUUCUUGCCUCAUUUUGGGGCCAUUUUUAGGAAUAUUUGGGUCAUUUGGGUCAUUUUGGGGCCAUUUUGGGGACAUUUGGUGUGAAAUUGGGCCAUUUUGGGGCCAUUUUGGGGGAUAUUUGGGGAUUUUUGGGUCAUAUGGGCUCAUUUUGGGGUCAUUUUGGGGCCAUUUUGGGGCUAUUUGGGGCAAAUUUGGGUCAUUUUUCCUCAUUUUGGGGCUAUUUUGGAGGUAUUUGGGCCAAGUUUGGGUCAUUUAGGCUCAUUUUGGGGUCAUUCGGGGGCCAUUUUGGGGCUAUUUGGUGCAAAUUUGGGUCAUUUGGGGGCCAUUUUGGGGCAAUCUGGGGCAAAUUUGGGUCAUUUGGGCUCAUUUUGGGGUCAUUUUGGGGAUUUUUGGGGCAAAUUCGGGUCAUCUUGGAUCAUUUUGGGGCCAUUUCUGCCCCCCCCCCCCCCCCCCAUAUUGACAGAACCCCCUUUUUUUCUUCCUUUUCCGCCUCCACUUUGGGGCCAAUUCUGACGAUUUCGGUUAAAAACCAUCAAAACCCGCCUUCACUUUUGGGGUGAAAGCAGAACUUUUUGGGGUUUCUCCCUAUGGGGCGGCUCUGCCGGUGCCGAAAACGUCGCAAAGGGAUCCGAAGAGCCCGAAACGCUCCGCCCCCUCAGGUGGGUCCGGAGCGCCAAUUUUGGGUCAAAUUCGGGCGAUUUUGGGUCCUUCCAAAGUCCCCCCAUCCCUCCCCCCCUCCUGGAUAGGCCGGGAGCCCCAAUUUUGGGGCAAAAUCCGAUGGUUUUGGGUCUUAAAAGUGCCCCCCCGUUCCCUCCCAAAACCCCCCAGGUGGGUCAGAACCGCCCCCCCCUCCCCUCAAUUUUUGGGUCAAAUUCGGGCGAUUUUGGGUCUUAAAAG